AUACUAACCUGUUAGGGGUGACUCCAUGAUCACAAAGUUGGUUUGCCCAAAGUGAAGCUCACCUUUGUUCACCUUUUAUGAAUUUCCCAUAUGUGAAAAUACAAACUGCACAAUUUUUGAUUGGGAAGAACUACAUUCGUGUUCCCCGUUA
rnacentral:snRNA from 1 species